rnacentral:rRNA from 1 species
AUGGAGAUACCGGUGGCGAAGGCGGCCCCUGGACAAAGACUGACGUCAGUGCGAAGCGUGGGAGCAAACAGGAUAGAUACCUGGUAGUCACGCGUAAACGAUGUCGACUUGGAGCUGUGCCCUUGAGGCGUGGCUUCCGGAGCUAACGCGUUAAGUCGACCGCCUGGGGAGUACGGCCGCAAGGUUAAAACUCAAAUGAAUUGACGGGGGCCCUCACAAGCGGUGGAGCAUGUGGUUUAAUUCGAUGCAACGCGAAGAACCUUACGUACUCUUGACAUCCAGAGAACUUAGCAGAGAUGCUUUGGUGCCUUCGGGAACUCUGAGACAGGUGCUGCAUGGCUGUCGUCAGCUCGUGUUGUGAAAUGUUGGGUUAAGUCCCGCAACGAGCGCAACCCUUAUCCUUUGUUGCCAGCGCGUGAUGGCGGGAACUCAAAGGAGACUGCCGGUGAUAAACCGGAGGAAGGUGGGGAUGACGUCAAGUCAUCAUGGCCCUUACGAGUAGGGCUACACACGUGCUACAAUGGCGUAUACAAAGGGAAGCGACCCUGCGAAGGCAAGCGGAACUCAUAAAGUACGUCGUAGUCCGGAUUGGAGUCUGCAACUCGACUCCAUGAAGUCGGAAUCGCUAGUAAUCGUAGAUCAGAAUGCUACGGUGAAUACGUUCCCGGGCCUUGUACACACCGCCCGUUACACCAUGGGAGUGGGUUGCAAAAGAAGUAGGUAGCUUAACCUCCGGGAGGGCGCUAACCACUUAGUGAUUCAUGACUGGGGUGAAGUCGUAACAAGGUAAGAAUAGGGAAGUC